GGAUUGCCCUAGUAACGGCGAGUGAAGCGGCAACAGCUCAAAUUUGAAAUCUGGCGCAAGCCCGAGUUGUAAUUUGUAGAGGAUGCUUCUGGCCAGCGGCCGUUCUAAGUUCCUUGGAACAGGACGUCAUAGAGGGUGAGAAUCCCGUAUGUGACCGGCGCGCAGCCUUUACGUAGCUCCUUCGACGAGUCGAGUUGUUUGGGAAUGCAGCUCUAAAUGGGAGGUAAAUUUCUUCUAAAGCUAAAUACCGGCCAGAGACCGAUAGCGCACAAGUAGAGUGAUCGAAAGAUGAAAAGCACUUUGGAAAGAGAGUUAAAAAGCACGUGAAAUUGUUGAAAGGGAAGCGCUUGCAACCAGACUUCGUAGCGAUGUUCCGCCGGUCUUCUGACCGGUCUACUCAUCGUCGCGAGGCCAACAUCGUCUGGGGCCGCCGGAUAAGACCUAAGGAAUGUAGCUUCCCUCGGGAAGUGUUAUAGCCUUUGGUGAUGCGGCGCGUCUCGGGCGAGGUCCGCGCUUCGGCAAGGAUGUUGGCGUAAUGGUUGUCAGCGGCCCGUCUUGAAACACGGACCAAGGAGUCUAACAUCUAUGCGAGUGUUCGGGUGUCAAACCCCUACGCGUAAUGAAAGUGAACGGAGGUGGGAAGCGCAAGCUGCACCAUCGACCGAUCCUGAUGUCCUCGGAUGGAUUUGAGUAAGAGCAUAGCUGUUGGGACCCGAAAGAUGGUGAACUAUGCCUGAAUAGGGUGAAGCCAGAGGAAACUCUGGUGGAGGCUCGCAGCGGUUCUGACGUGCAAAUCGAUCGUCAAAUUUGGGUAUAGGGGCGAAAGACUAAUC
rnacentral:rRNA from 1 species